UUUGUAGUUCAAUUUCAUUGU
rnacentral:piRNA from 1 species